AACGAACGCUGGCGGCAUGCCUAACACAUGCAAGUCGAACGAGACCUUCGGGUCUAGUGGCGCACGGGUGCGUAACGCGUGGGAACCUGCCCUUAGGUUCGGAAUAACUCCCCGUAAGGGGUGCUAAUACCGGUUAAUGUCUUCCGACCAAAGAUUUAUCGCCUUUGGAUGGGCCCGCGUUGGAUUAGCUAGUUGGUAGGGUAAAAGCCUACCAAGGCGACGAUCCAUAGCCGGUCUGAGAGGAUGAUCAGCCACACUGGGACUGAGACACGGCCCAGACUCCUACGGGAGGCAGCAGUGGGGAAUAUUGGACAAUGGGCGAAAGCCUGAUCCAGCAAUGCCGCGUGAGUGAUGAAGGCGUUAGGGUUGUAAAGCUCUUUUACCCGGGAUGAUAAUGACAGUACCGGGAGAAUAAGCUCCGGCUAACUCCGUG
rnacentral:rRNA from 1 species